rnacentral:rRNA from 1 species
UACAGAGGGUGCAAGCGUUGUUCGGAAUUACUGGGCGUAAAGGGCGCGUAGGCGGUGCUCUAAGUUAUAUGUGAAAACUCUGGGCUCAACCCAGAGCCUGCAUCUAAAACUGGAGUGCUAGAGUUCUGGAGGGGGUAGCGGAAUUCCUGGUGUAGCGGUGAAAUGCGUAGAUAUCAGGAGGAACACCGGUGGCGAAGGCGGCUACCUGGACAGAAACUGACGCUGAGACGCGAAAGCUAGGGGAGCAAACAGG